AGCAGCCGCGGUAAUUCCAGCUCCAAUAGCGUAUAUUAAAGUUGUUGCAGUUAAAAGCUCGUAGUUGAAUUUCGGGACCAAUUUGUUGGUCGUGCCUCGGUACGUACUGGUAUUAUUGGUUUCUCCCUUCUGAAGAAUCUCGAUGCCAUUAAUUUGGUGUCGUGGGGAAUCAGGACUGUUACUUUGAAAAAUUAGAGUGUUUAAAGCAAGCAUACGCUUGAAUACAUUAGCAUGGAAUAAUGAAAUAGGACGUUUGAUUCUAUUUUGUUGGUUUCUAGGAUCGACGUAAUGAUUAAUAGGGAUAGUUGGGGGCAUUAGUAUUCAAUUGUCAGAGGUGAAAUUCUUGGAUUUAUUGAAGACUAACUACUGCGAAAGCAUUUGCCAAGGAUGUUUUCAUUAAUCAAGAACGAAAGUUAGGGAUCGAAGACGAUCAGAUACCGUCGUAGUCUU
rnacentral:rRNA from 1 species